UACGAAGGGGGCUAGCGUUGCUCGGAAUUACUGGGCGUAAAGCGCACGUAGGCGGCUUUCUAAGUCGGGGGUGAAAUCCUGGAGCUCAACUCCAGAACUGCCUUCGAUACUGGAAAGCUCGAGUCCGGGAGAGGUGAGUGGAACUGCGAGUGUAGAGGUGAAAUUCGUAGAUAUUCGCAAGAACACCAGUGGCGAAGGCGGCUCACUGGCCCGGUACUGACGCUGAGGUGCGAAAGCGUGGUGAGCAAACAGG
rnacentral:rRNA from 1 species